ACGUUCUUGUGUCAGGAAUUGUUUACUGCACAGUAGUAUUCCCUUGUGUGGACGUGGCACUUUCAUCCAAGCACCAGGUGAUGGCCAUUUGAGUUGUUCCCAGUUUGGGUGAUAAAGCUGCCAGAUGUUUUCUUUUCUCUUAGGUAAAUACCUAGGGGUGACCUUGCGGGGUCAUGGAGGAAAGGUAUGUGUGAGAAACCGCCCAGUUGUCUCCCAAAGUGUUUGCACCAUUUUCCAUUCCCACCAGCGAUGGGUGAGAAUUCCAGUUGCUCCGAAUCCUUGCUGACAUUUGAUGUUGUCAAUAUUUUUUUGUAUGUGUGUGAGGAAGACUGGCCCUGAGCCAGCAUCAGUGCCCAUCUUCCUCUAUUUUGUAUGUGGAAUUCCACCACAGCGUGGCUUGAUGAGCGAUGUAUAGGUCCAUGCCUGGGAUCAGAACCUGUGAACCCUGGGCUGCCAAAGCAGCGCACGGGAACUUAACCACUAUGCCACGGGGCUGGCCCCUGUUGUAUUUUUAAUUUUAGCCAUUCUCCUAAGUGUGUAGUGACAUCUCAUUAUCAUUUUAAUUUUCAUUUCCCCAGUGGCUAAUGAUGUGGAGCAUCUUUUGGUGCUUAUUUGGGGCCUGUAUCUCUUCUUUGGUGAAGUGUCUGCUCAGCCCAUUUUCAGAAAUGGAGGUGCUGCUCUUUCUUAUCCCAGCUGCUGAUGAGUCGGGGGAUGGGGCAUACGUGGGCAGCAUCUCAACAUGUGGGUUCUAACCCUUUUCCUUCAUGUCACCUCUGAUGAUGCCCUGGGGGAGCCCUGAGCUUCUGUAGGACACACGUGCCUCCCCGCCCCCCGAGAAGCCUUCUUUGGGUAAAAGACCCCAGUGCUGUGGGCGCGUGGAUCCGUUGUCAGGUAUGUGAAGUCCUCUCAUCAAUGCUGUUGCAGGAUCCAGUAAUUCUCCAGUCCUGAAUCCACACGCUUUCCCGAGUUGGUGAGGUGACCGUGCAGCGGGCACAUUUAGAAAUUCCCGGACCCAAAGUCUCCCUGGUGCUGGGCCCUCAGCAGGAGCUGGGUUUUGGCUGGUCCUAACCAAGUUCUUAUGGUGGUGACGGCAGGUGGGCCCUUGAGGCAAAGCCACCCUUAGGGGCUGGACGAGAAGGGCAGGGCUGGGCCCAGACGGGCAGCAGCAGACCUUGGGCAGCGUGUGCAGGGUCCCAGCAUGAAAGCCACCUUCCCCAUCCCCAGUCCACACUGGCUAUGGCGGCUACCCUCUGCCAGGGUCGCUCUCUUCUCUGUGCACAGUCUGUGCAGCCUCCUAGCUUCAGCCUGGUGCAACUCCCAGCCUCCUCCCACACCCUGUGAAGCCUGGCUCCUGAUGCCCACGCCCCACGCUCUGGGGAAAAAAAAUAAUAAGGAAAAACGCAAAGAUAAAUGAAGAAGGCAUGCCCUUGGUGACAACACAGGUUUACAGCAGCCGCAGCAAAGGCUGGGAGCCCCUUGCACGGUGCAUGGUUGCCACAUCUUAAAGUCUGAGAAACCCACGUAUCAUCGUCUUUAAUGGGUCUUUGCAGAUGUCAUCAAGUUACGAGAAGGCCAUGUGACGACGGGGCAGAGACUGGACAGAUGCAGCCACAAGCCAAGGGUUGCCAGAACCCACAGAAGCUGGAAGAGGCAGGAAGGACCCUCCCCUGGAGCCUUCAGAGGGAACACGGCCCUGCUGACACCUUGAUUUUGGACGUCUGGCCCCCAGAAUGGGCGGCUGCACCUCGAUGCCAGCGUGGGGGCUUCACUCUGCGCUGUCCUUGGACCCCCCCCUUCCCCAGAGGCUGAUGACCAUGGAGGGUCUUCUCCACCCCUAGAUGAGCCAGCUCCCAAUCCCAGAGCUCCAGGACCUGACUCCUGCUGGCUUAUCCGCCGCCCCACCAAGGCCCUAGAUGCCACCCGCCCAGGCCCCUCUCUGCUGCCCCCCUUUUGCAGUCUUCGACUUUGGCUCUCUUGUCCUCUGACCAUGUCUUGCCUCAAACCCAAGGCCUUCCCCACACCCAGGUGCAUCCACUGAUGGCGACGGGUGAAUGCCUAAGUCCACCACACGUCCCCGAUCUCCCAGGACACUCACAACUUCACGUAGUCUCCUCCAUUUUCACAAGUCACAUGUCCCAAGAAUUGCUGGUUUCAGCAUUCAAAGCGCCCCUCCUGGACUUCUGCCUGCUCUGGAGCGCUGCCCACGCAGACCGUGGCAGGACUCGGAACGGGUUUAGAGAGCACCAUAGGCAGACGGAUUACCCCUCCUUCGUGUGUGUCUAAUGUUCUUGAGUCCCUCCCCAUCUGAGACAAAAGCUGGAGGGACUAUGCCGGGCCUGUCUGGGACUGUCCAUUCCAGGACAGCUUAACGCAGCUGAGCGAAGAGUCGACAGGCAGGGAUGGUGGGCUCACGGCACGGUGUUCCGCAUGGAGCUAGCAGCAUGCACAAGGGCAUACAGAGGAAAGUGGAAGCUGAGGGAGCAGUGAUCUGGGGCUGGGCCCUGGGGUACACCUGCUGCCCAGGCCUGAAACUGGGGGUCAGCCCAGGCUCCCCCUCCCUCUCCAACCCGCCCAUCCAAUGAGUCACAGGGUUCUAGAACCUCCCUCUCAGAUAUUUGCGUCGAUUACCAAUAUCACUGUCUUAUUUCAGGCUUCUUUCAUUUCUCAUUACACACACUGUGGAAGACACCUGGCUGCUAAUCUCUUCCUUCUCCUCCGAUCCUUCACAGCACACCCAGCCUCACAAGCUGAACGUUCUCUCCUGAUGGUGAAACCUCACACGAUGCCCUUGUCAUCCAAGGGAAGUCCAGGCCUGGGCACAUUCAGAGCCCCCACCUCAGCCCUCACCAGUCCUGGGCUCCAGCUGGGCCCCCAACCCUCUAGUUCCAGGGUGUACUCUGACCCUCGUGUCUUUGCACACGCCAUUCCUUAUAUCCAGAACUCCCUUCCCAACCCCAGUUAUUCGGCUCGUAUUCACUGAGCACCUGUUACGUCCAGGCACCAUUCUAUGCACCAGGGAUACGGUGUGGAACUUGAAUUUUGGUGGGGUAACUGACAGUAAGCAACUCAGAGUGCGCCAGGUGUUGGCGAGCACUACGAUGAGGAGAAUGCUGGAGAACGGGAACACACCUGGGCAGGGUGAGGACCGAGGGCAAGGAGGAGUCAGCCAUAAGGAGACUAAAGAGGAAAGACGUUCCAGGUGGAGGAAAGAGCCCACGCCGAGGCCCCUAAGCAGGAGAGAAAAAGAAGGCCAGUGAAAGGAGAGCGUGGCCAGGGGCUGACAGCCAGGCUUCCUGAGCCGGGCUCCCAGGUUGGGUCCUCUGGCGGGCAGACACUUCCUGCGGGAGACUCGGUGGAUGGUGGUGGAGACGGGAAGAUACGCAGAAUGUGUUCUGGAGGCAGAAGUGAUGAGACUCGCUGCCAAACUGGAUAAGAAGAUGAAGAAAGGGAUCCAGAAGGACUUCAGAGCGCAGACCCACGAGGGCAGGGAGCUGUGUUUUACUUAUGGAUGCAUCUGGAGGCUAGAACAGUGCCUGGCAUGUGAUCUGAGGAGCUGCAGGCUGCCCACGCUCCUAUUUGAUGGACAGGAAACUGCAGGGUGCAGAGGAUAUGCAACUUACCCCAGGUCACCCAGUCAUUAAGUUGAAGAGCUGGCUCUUGAACCCAGGACUGCAUUGGAACAUUGACAAUAAUUCUACCUUAGAAAGAAAGAACGCAUAAAAGGACCGGGGCAUCUAUUUUUAGCAGCAGUAAUUUCACAGGUAUCAGGGAACCAGACAGUGAACCGAAUCAACUGAGUCACCUUUCGGGGGUGACUCAUGUUCUGGAUCAAGGUCAACAAGGUUGACUCUCACUAAAAGAGAAGUAAAGCUCUAAAGUCUCCAGGAUUUUUUUUAAAUUUUUUUUUUUUUUUGAGGAAGAUUAGCCCUGAGCUGUUGCCAAUCCGCCUCUUUUUGCUGAGGAAGACUGGCCCUGAGCUAACAUCUGUGCCCAUCUUCCUCUACUUAUAGCUGAGACACCUACCACAGCAUGGCUGGCCAAGUGGUGCCAUGUCUGCACCUGGGAUCUGAACUGGGGAACCCCGGGCCACCGAAGUGGAACGUGUGCACUUAACUGCUGCACCACUGGGCUCACCCCCCAGGAUUUUUUGGUUUUUUUAAGGAAAAAGAAACAAACGAACAAAAAACAGUCACAUCUCUGGUCUUUUAAAAAUAGCUUCAGGGUCAGAUAGAUGCAGUCAGCAUUUCUAACCAUCCAUUUGUCACGUGCACAUGAAUCUUCAGGUCUCAGUCAGACAGAGGUGCUCAGCUGUUUUGAAAUGAGGUGGUAAGAAACACCACCAUUCCGCUUGUAGACACACAGCGUAAGCCGCUGUUUGCAAAGGGCCACCCAGACCAACGCCCUUCAGUAAGUUUCUCCCACAGUCUCGUGUCUCCGUCUAGAAAUCCAGAACGACGGCUGUCGGCUCCCUCUCGCCUGUCCCGGAAUGAGCACAGCUCCCGUCAGAGACGAAGCUAGAUCCCCUUGAUGUGUGGCCCCUGCACGGGAAGGAGGAUACUGACUGCUUCCAGAGUCCAUCUUCCUUGUGCUGAGAGGACAGGGGCUGAUGCGGCCGCUGCGCGCCUGGGGCCCACCCUGUGUCUGGGUCCCUGGGAGAGGCAGAGACGCUUGCCCUCGUGCCUCACAGUCCUGAGCACACAUGAGUCUCAGAGCAUUUGCCACUUGGGUUGAUGGUUCACGUCUAUUUCCCCAAAGAGGGAGCCAGUUCCUCGAGGGCAGGGACCAUGUGGUAUUCAUCUGUGCAGUCCCAAAGCCUGGGCAUGACCGGCACGUACGUCAUAUGCUGACGGCAGGGAGGGAAAAAAAGGCGAGACAGCCAAGAGAUGGACCUGACCCAUAGGCCCACAUACCUCACUCUUUAUAGACUAAGCUGCUCAUCAACUGAUUCACUCACUCGUCCAGCACAGGCUGCGGAGCAUCACUCCUCUGCUUCCUGCUCCCUUUCAGCUCAUCCCCCCUGCACACACUUGUCUCCCUUCCCAAACCUUCUAACCGAAGCUCCGUGCUCUGGCUUAACCCCUCCCCAUUAGGAGAAAAAGCAGAUUAAGGGCUGACCCUUAACAAACUCCACCCUACACACCCGAAACACUCCCAGAGCAGCUCGUUUGCAAGGUCACGGACUUUGCUGUCAGAUCUGGUUCCAACACCCACUCCCCCAGCUCCUAGCCUUUAUGACCUCACAGACGGGAUGGAUCAUUCCUAAAAAGCAGGGUGGCCGUGCGGAUCAGACCACAGCUGAGGGCAGACACUUGCCCAAUCCCAGCUGUCCUCCUUCACCCCAGUGCACGGCCUUGGGGAGCUGGGGGCCAUCUUUCUCUACCAAAGGGAUGCCACGGUGCAGAUUUUAAAGGAACCGCACCCCUCAUCUCCUUUCAUAAUGGCAACUUGCAGGACAGCACACAAGAAAUCCCAUCGAAAUCCACUUUCUUACUGUACCCAGUUCAUAAUCAAACACCCAGAAUUACAACUGCCCUUACAAAUACACACAGAGUCUGCUCCCAAUCUUCUUUAAGGCAAACGGGUUGCUAGGACCUGGUAUGGAGGUGUUGACACAAUCCAGUUACCAUCAGCGUCCGCUGUCUGCCAAACUGGAGGGUCUUGAGGCGUCUUUGGUCUCCUAGGACCAGAAAGGGGAGCACAUGAAGACUGAUGCUUCUGGCUGGGGUCGUAUUUCAGCUUCAUACCCAGCUUUUCUCACAAUAAUGUUUGAAGACAAGACUUCCCAACGCCUAGCUUGAGGAGCAGUGCUACGUCUGCAUCCGGGAUCCGAACCUGCCAACCGCACGCCACCUAAGCGGAGUGUGAGAACUUAACCACUA
ensembl:lncRNA